rnacentral:rRNA from 1 species
GUUUGAUCCUGGCUCAGAAUCAACGCUGGCGGCGCGCUUAACACAUGCAAGUCGAACGAGAAAGCCGGGGCAACCUGGUGAGUAAAGUGGCGUACGGGUGAGUAACACGUGGAUCAUCUACCUUCUAGUGGGGAAUACCGUUGGGAAACCGACGACAAUACCGCAUGAGCUCGAGAGAGGAAAGCGGCUUUGUGAAAACAGAGUCGCGCUGGAAGAGGAGUCCGCGGCUGAUUAGCUAGUUGGUGAGGUAACGGCCCACCAAGGCUUUGAUCAGUAGCCGGCCUGAGAGGGCACACGGCCACACUGGCACCGAAACACGGGCCAGACUCCUACGGGAGGCAGCAGUGGGGAAUCUUGCACAAUGGGGGAAACCCUGAUGCAGCGACGCCGCGUGAGCGAUGAAGCCCUUCGGGGUGUAAA